GAACGAGUGGCGGACGGGUGAGUAACACGUGGGUAACCUGCCCUUAAGUGGGGGAUAACAUUUGGAAACAGAUGCUAAUACCGCAUAAAUCCAAGAACCGCAUGGUUCUUGGCUGAAAGAUGGCGUAAGCUAUCGCUUUUGGAUGGACCCGCGGCGUAUUAGCUAGUUGGUGAGGUAACGGCUCACCAAGGCAAUGAUACGUAGCCGAACUGAGAGGUUGAUCGGCCACAUUGGGACUGAGACACGGCCCAAACUCCUACGGGAGGCAGCAGUAGGGAAUCUUCCACAAUGGACGCAAGUCUGAUGGAGCAACGCCGCGUGAGUGAAGAAGGCUUUCGGGUCGUAAAACUCUGUUGUUGGAGAAGAAUGGUCGGCAGAGUAACUGUUGUCGGCGUGACGGUAUCCAACCAGAAAGCCACGGCUAACUACGUGCCAGCAGCCGCGGUAAUACGUAGGUGGCAAGCGUUAUCCGGAUUUAUUGGGCGUAAAGCGAGCGCAGGCGGUUUUUUAAGUCUGAUGUGAAAGCCCUCGGCUUAACCGAGGAAGUGCAUCGGAAACUGGGAAACUUGAGUGCAGAAGAGGACAGUGGAACUCCAUGUGUAGCGGUGAAAUGCGUAGAUAUAUGGAAGAACACCAGUGGCGAAGGCGGCUGUCUGGUCUGUAACUGACGCUGAGGCUCGAAAGCAUGGGUAGCGAACAGGAUUAGAUACCCUGGUAGUCCAUGCCGUAAACGAUGAAUGCUAGGUGUUGGAGGGUUUCCGCCCUUCAGUGCCGCAGCUAACGCAUUAAGCAUUCCGCCUGGGGAGUACGACCGCAAGGUUGAAACUCAAAGGAAUUGACGGGGGCCCGCACAAGCGGUGGAGCAUGUGGUUUAAUUCGAAGCAACGCGAAGAACCUUACCAGGUCUUGACAUCUUUUGAUCACCUGAGAGAUCAGGUUU
rnacentral:rRNA from 2 species